CAGCAGCCACGGGAAAACCAGCACCUCGAGUGGUCAGGAGGUUUAUUGGGCCUAAAGCAUCCGUAGCCGGUUGCAUAAGUUUUCGGUUAAAUCUAUGCGCUUAACGUAUAGGCCGCCGAAAAUACUGUGCAGCUAGGGAGUGGGAGAGGUACACGGUACUCGAUAGGAAGGGGUAAAAUCCUUUGAUCUAUUGAUGACCACCUGUGGCGAAGGCGGUGUACCAGAACACGUUCGACGGUGAGGGAUGAAAGCUGGGGGAGCAAACCGGAUUAGAUACCCGCGUAGUCCCUGUCUCUUAUAC
rnacentral:rRNA from 1 species